rnacentral:piRNA from 1 species
UGGCACAGAAUAUACAUUCCCAUUCCAAAA